rnacentral:rRNA from 1 species
ACACGCUGGCGGCGUGCUUAACACAUGCAAGUCGAACGGGCACUUCGGUGUCAGUGGCGAACGGGUGAGUAAAGCGCAGGUAAUCUGCCGCAAAGACGGGGACAACGUUCCGAAAGGGACGCUAAUACCGGAUGUUGUAAUGAUGUCGCAUGAUGUUAUUACCAAAGAUUUAUCGCUUUGCGAGGAGCCUGCGUCCGAUUAGGUAGUUGGUGGGUAAGAGCCUACCAAGCCGACGAUCGGUAGCCGGUCUGAGAGGAUGAACGGUCACAAUGGAACUGAGAUACGGUCCAUACUCCUACGGGAGGCAGCAGUGGGGAAUAUUCCACAAUGGGGGAAACCCUGAUGGAGCGACGCCGCGUGAGUGAUGAAGGGCUUCGGCUCGUAAAGCUCUUUUCUUCAGGACGAAUGGUCUAUUGGAUAGACAGGGACGGUACUGAGGGAAUAAGCCACGGCUAACUACGUGCCAGCCGCGGC